GACGAACGCUGGCGGCGUGCUUAACACAUGCAAGUCGAACGGAAAGGCCCUUCGGGGUACUCGAGUGGCGAACGGGUGAGUAACACGUGGGUGAUCUGCCCUGCACUUUGGGAUAAGCCUGGGAAACUGGGUCUAAUACCGAAUAGGACCACGCGCUUCAUGGUGUGUGGUGGAAAGCUUUUGCGGUGUGGGAUGGGCCCGCGGCCUAUCAGCUUGUUGGUGGGGUAAUGGCCUACCAAGGCGACGACGGGUAGCCGGCCUGAGAGGGUGACCGGCCACACUGGGACGGAGAUACGGCCCAGCCUCCAGGGGGAGGCAGCGGUGGGGAAUAUUGCACAAGGGGCGCAGGCCGGAUGCAGCAACGCCGGGGGGGGGAGGACGGCCUUCGGGUUGUAAACCUCUUCCAAGGGGGACGAGGCGAGAGGGACGGUACCUAAAGAAGAAGCCCCGGCCAACUACGUG
rnacentral:rRNA from 1 species